AUACGAAGGGUGCGAGCGUUAAUCGGAAUUACUGGGCGUAAAGCGCGCGUAGGCGGUUUGCUAAGUCAGAUGUGAAAGCCCCGGGCUUAACCUGGGAACUGCAUUUGAUACUGGCAGACUAGAGUAUGAUAGAGGGGGGUAGAAUUCCUGGUGUAGCGGUGAAAUGCGUAGAUAUCAGGAGGAAUACCAGUGGCGAAGGCGGCCCCCUGGAUCAAUACUGACGCUGAGGUACGAAAGCGUGGGGAGCGAACAGGAUUAGAUACCCUAGUAGUCC
rnacentral:rRNA from 1 species